UACGGAGGGGGCUAGCGUUGCUCGGAAUGACUGGGCGUAAAGGGCGCGUAGGCGGUUUGGAAAGUCAGAUGUGAAAUUCCUGGGCUCAACCUGGGGGCUGCAUUUGAUACGUUCGGACUAGAGUGGGGAAGAGGGUCGUGGAAUUCCCAGUGUAGAGGUGAAAUUCGUAGAUAUUGGGAAGAACACCGGUGGCGAAGGCGGCGACCUGGUCCUUGACUGACGCUGAGGCGCGAAAGCGUGGGGAGCAAACAGG
rnacentral:rRNA from 1 species